CCUACGGGUGGCAGCAGUGAGGAAUAUUGGUCAAUGGACGAGAGUCUGAACCAGCCAAGUAGCGUGAAGGAUGCCUGCCCUAUGGGUUGUAAACUUCUUUUAUAUGGGAAUAAAAUGUUCCACGUGUGGGAUUUUGUAUGUACCAUAUGAAUAAGGAUCGGCUAACUCCGUGCCAGCAGCCGCGGUAAUACGGAGGAUCCGAGCGUUAUCCGGAUUUAUUGGGUUUAAAGGGAGCGUAGGUGGAUUGUUAAGUCAGUUGUGAAAGUUUGCGGCUCAACCGUAAAAUUGCAGUUGAAACUGGCAGUCUUGAGUACAGUAGAGGUGGGCGGAAUUCGUGGUGUAGCGGUGAAAUGCUUAGAUAUCACGAAGAACUCCGAUUGCGAAGGCAGUUCACUGGACUGCAACUGACACUGAGGCUCGAAAGUGUGGGUAUCAAACAGGAUUAGAUACCCGAGUAGUC
rnacentral:rRNA from 1 species